rnacentral:rRNA from 1 species
CAGUAGCCACGGGAAUACGUAGGGCGCGAGCGUUGUACGGAAUUACUGGGCGUAAAGCGCACGUAGGCGGCUUUGUAAGUUAGAGGUGAAAGCCUGGAGCUCAACUCCAGAAUUGCCUUUAAGACUGCAUCGCUUGAAUCCAGGAGAGGUGAGUGGAAUUCCGAGUGUAGAGGUGAAAUUCGUAGAUAUUCGGAAGAACACCAGUGGCGAAGGCGACUCGCUGGACGAGUAUUGACGCUGAGGUGCGAAAGCGUGGGGAGCAAACAGGAUUAGAUACCCCAGUAGUCCCUGUCUCUUAUAC